GCGUUGUCCGGAAUUAUUGGGCGUAAAGGGUACGCAGGCGGUUUAAUAAGUCGAAUGUUAAAGAUCGGGGCUCAACCCCGUAAAGCAUUGGAAACUGAUAAACUUGAGUAGUGGAGAGGAAAGUGGAAUUCCUAGUGUAGUGGUGAAAUACGUAGAUAUUAGGAGGAAUACCAGUAGCGAAGGCGACUUUCUGGACACAAACUGACGCUGAGGUACGAAAGCGUGG
rnacentral:rRNA from 1 species